AUACCGGAUCUUAUGGUCUGGUAAUUGGAAUGAGUACAAUUUAAAUCCAUUAGCAAGGAUCCAUUGGAGGGCAAGUCUGGUGCCAGCAGCCGCGGUAAUUCCAGCUCCAAUAGCGUAUACUAAAAUUGUUGCAGUUAAAAAGCUCGUAGUUGGAUUUCUGGCAUCGAGGAGCCUGUUCCGGUCCCUGCCUGCAGCAAUGUGGGUGGGUGUACUGUGCGAACGGUGACUUCUCUGCCAUCAUUCGUGGAGAACCGUCUGGCUCUUCAUUGAGUUGGGCGGCAAUCCCGAUCUAUUACUUUGAAAAAAUUAGAGUGUUCAAAGCAGGCUUAUGCUGUGAAUACAUUAGCAUGGAAUAAUGAAAUUAGGACUUGCGUCCUAUUUUCGUUGGUUUCUAGGUUGCAAGCCACGAUUGAUAGGGACAGUUGGGGGUGCUAGUAUUCAACGGCCAGAGGCGAAAUUCUGUGAUUCGUUGAGGACUAACAAAUGCGAAAGCAUUCACCAAGGAUGUCUUCUUUAAUCAAGAACGAAAGUUGAGGGAUCGAAGACGAUCAGAUACCGUCGUAGUCUCAACCAUAAACAAUGCCAACUAGGGAUUGGUGGACGUUAGAAAUUAAUCAUGACUCCAUCAGCACCUUAAGAGAAAUUAAGAGUCUUUGGGUUCCGGGGGAAGUCCGAUCGCAAGGUUGAAACUUAAAGGAAUUGACGGAAGGGCACCACCAGGAGUGGAGCCUGCGGCUUAAUUUGACACAACACGGGAAAACUUGCCAGGUCCAGACAUAGUGAGGAUUGACAGAUUGAAGAUCUUUCUUGAUUCUAUGGGUGGUGGUGCAUGGUCGUUCUUAGUUGGUGGAGUGAUUUGUCUGGUUAAUUCCGUUAACGAACGAGACCUCAGCCUACUAAAUAGCAGGCACAAUCCUUUAACCGGGAUUGCGUUCCUGCUUCUUAGAGGGACUUUUGGUGUUUAGCCAAAGGAAGUUUGAGGCAAUAACAGGUCUGUGAUGCCCUUAGAUGUUCUGGGCUGCACGUGCGCUACACUGUUGUGUUCAACGAGCUUACACAACCUUGAUCGAGAGGUCUGGGUAAUCUUUGAAAGCACAACGUGAUGGGGCUAGAUCAUUGUAAUUAUUGAUCUUCAACGAGGAAUUCCUAGUAAGCGCAAGUCAUCAGCUUGCAUUGAUUACGUCCCUGCCCUUUGUACACACCGCCCGUCGCUCCUACCGAUUGAAUGAUCCGGUGAAAUCUCAGGACUAAGGCAUGGCCUGGGGCAACUCAGACCACGCUUUGGGAAUUUGAGUAAACCUUAUCAUUU
rnacentral:rRNA from 1 species